AUUGAACGCUGGCGGCAGGCCUAACACAUGCAAGGCGAACGAGUGGCGGACGGGAGAGUAAUGUCUGGGAAACUGCCUGAGGGAGGGGGAUAACUACUGGAAACGGUAGCUAAUACCGCAUACCAUCGGAUAAGCCCAUAUUGGAUUAGCUCGUAGGUGGGGUAAAGGCGUACCUAGGCGACGAUCCCUAGCUGGUCUGAGAGGAUGACCGUUCGUACUGGAACUGUGACACGGUCCAGACUCCUACGGGAUGCAUCAGUGGGGAAUUAUGCACGAUGCGCGCAACCUUGAUACAGCCAUGCCGUGUGUAUGAAGAAGGCCUGCGGGUUGUAAAGUACUUUCAGCGGCGAGGCGUUACCCGCCGAAUAAGCACAGUCUAACUCCGUGCCAGCAGCCGCGGUAAUUC
rnacentral:rRNA from 1 species